UGUACCUUCAAGCCUUGCUUGGUGUUGGGUGUUUGUCUCGCCUCUGCGCGUAGACUCGCCUCAAAACAAUUGGCAGCCGGCGUAUUGAUUUCGGAGCGCAGUACAUCUCGCGCUUUGCACUCAGAACGACGACGUCCAAAAGUACAUUUUUACACU
rnacentral:misc_RNA from 1 species